GAUGAACGCUGGCGGCGUGCCUAAUACAUGCAAGUCGAGCGAACAGACGAGGAGCUUGCUCCUCUGACGUUAGCGGCGGACGGGUGAGUAACACGUGGAUAACCUACCUAUAAGACUGGGAUAACUUCGGGAAACCGGAGCUACUACCGGCUAAUAUAUUGAACCGCAUGGUUCAAUAGUGCAAGACGGCUUUGCUGUCACUUAUAGAUGGAUCCGCGCCGCAUUAGCUAGUUGGUAAGGUAACGGCUUACCAAGGCGACGAUGCGUAGCCGACCUGAGAGGGUGAUCGGCCACACUGGAACUGAGACACGGUCCAGACUCCUACGGGAGGCAGCAGUAGGGAAUCUUCCGCAAAGGGCGAAAGCCUGACGGAGCAACGCCGCGUGAGUGAUGAAGGUCUUCGGAUCGUAAAACUCUGUUAUUAGGGAAGAACAAAUGUGUAAGUAACUAUGCACGUCUUGACGGUACCUAAUCAGAAAGCCACGGCUAACUACGUG
rnacentral:rRNA from 1 species